AGGGUUUGAUCCUGGCCUCAAAAUGAACGCUGGCGGCGUGCCUUACGCAUGCAAGUCGAGCGAGAAAGCUCCUUCGGGAGUGAGUACAGCGGCGGACGGGUGAGUAACACGUGAGAAUUUACCCUUUAGUGAAGAAUACCCCUGAGAAAUCAGGGUUAAUACUGCAUACGUCCCUACGGGGAGAAAGGUGGCCUCUUUGCUGCCGCUAAAGGAUAAGCUUGCGGGCUAUUAGCUUGUUGGUGAGGUAAAGGCUCACCAAGGCAAUGAUGGCUAGCCGGCCUGAGAGGGUGUACGGCCACACUGGAACUUAGACACGGUCCAGACUCCUACGGGAGGCAGCAGCGGGGAAUAUUGCGCAAUGGGCGAAAGCCUGACGCAGCGACGCCGCGUGGAGGAUGAAGGUCUUAGGAUCGUAAACUUCUGUUAAGUGGGAAGAAAGAUUUAUCCCUAAUACGGAUAAAAGAUGACGGUACCAUUAGAGAAAGCACCGGCUAACUUCGUGCCAGCAGCCGCGGUAAUACGAGGGGUGCAAGCGUUAUUCGGAAUCAUUGGGCGUAAAGGGUGCGUAGACGGCUUAUCAAGUCAACUGUUAAAUUCUCCGGCCUAACUGGAGGUCAGCGGUAGAAACUGAUAGGCUUGAGGUUGGGAGAGAGAAGUGGAAUUCUCGGAGUAGCGGUAAAAUGCGUAGAUCUCGAGAGGAACACCGAUGGCGAAGGCAGCUUCUUGGUCCAUACCUGACGUUGAGGCACGAAAGCGUGGGGAGCAAACAGGAUUAGAUACCCUGAUAGUCCACGCCGUAAACGAUGAUCACUAGACGUUAAUUCUGCUUGCAGAAUCAGUGUCGUAGCUAACGCGAUAAGUGAUCCGCCUGGGGAGUACGGUCGCAAGGCUAAACUCAAAAGGAAUUGACGGGGGCCCGCACAAGCGGUGGAACAUGUGGUUUAAUUCGACACUA
rnacentral:rRNA from 1 species